GUUGAAACACCAGUUCUCAUACAAUCACCAAAGUUAAGCAAAAUUGAGCCUGGUCAGUACUUAGAUGGGUAACUGCUUGGGAAUAUCAGAUGCUGUAA